UCUGUUUCUUUUGUGUAAUUUAGCGCUAACGAGGUUAAUCCUUAGACAUUUAAAUUAAUUAUCGCCUGUUGUUAAUUACGUUACGGUAGCGGAGCGGCCCUCUGACCCGUGCCUUUCACAAACGUUUGACUCUUGACGUAUGAACACUAAACCAGACACCAAGCCAAUGCCCGGUGGAGAUUUCUCUGGCUACAACUGGCGCCCAAAUAUCUCAAGGGUCUAAGCUUCCAAAAAGAGAAGAAAUUGGACCUAGCCCCCGAAACCACGCCAGGUCGGGACAGCCUGAAGCCGCAGUUAAAUUGGCAAUAUUCUACCGUUUCGGAACUGGACCAGUUUUACAUGCCUGCUAGAAGGCAGCACCCUCGAAGUGGUCUUAACGUAAGUGCAGGUAGCAUACAAUUCCUACAACCAAUGCGUGCGAUGCAGAUUACCCAUCUCUGCGUUGGCGGUUCGUCCUAAGUCCCAUCGCUCCCCGGUCGAAGCCGGAAAGACGGUUCCGGACGCUAGUGACAGCUCUACGUUAGCUACUUCGUCAGUUGCAAUGGCUGCUGUACCGCCUGAAAUUACUUGCAAAGGCCUUUCUGGUAAAUAGUUACGUCACCUGCUGAUCUUCCGGAAUAUACGGCCGCCUGCUGCGAAUAAGUGCGUGAAGUGACAGCAGUGCGAUGAGCGCGAAAUAUCACUCGACAACGUUCUGAGGUACAGGAUAUCAAGCAGGAAGCUCAUUUCUUCCUUUUCUUUGCAUCAUUUGGUCUCUCGUAAACGUGUGCGCCUGCUACUAAUUCAGUUUAUCGGAAUAGAUGUUUGCUGUCGCAUUCCUCCAUGCCCCCCCCCCCUUGGUACGCGAACGCGCACUAAAGUCCUAGCAAGGCGGAUUCAGGUGCUUCCAUCAACUACGGGCAAGCACAUUUCCAAGAGAAUUAUCUACGCCCUGUAUCGUCGUCAUGUAAUAGGAACAGGACACAGGACAAAAUCUCAGACCAAGAUUCAAGAGGGAAUGGUGUCCUGUCAUGAGCUCAACAGGAAACAGAUGAUAUAUCUCCACAGUCCAGAGCAUUGAUGUGUAGCGUUGUUUGAUUCAAUAAGCUCUUAGGUGUCCACACGCAGUUUUUGAAAAGAGGUAUCACGCGUUUGGAUCUUUGCGCAGAGAAACAAUUUUCCGGACCUGUUUGUGAUAAUAA